rnacentral:rRNA from 1 species
AUGGCGGUGAUGGACACGGCGUUCAAGGCGCUGACGGCGGGGCUGGGCGUGGCGACGCUCUACCUGGCCGGCUCCUUCUCCUUCAACGUCUACCGCGGCCUCGCCUGGCACUCCGAGCAAUCCAAGCUAGAAAAAGAAAAUGAGAAGAGCCAAGAUUGA